AUCCAGGCUCUUUGUGCUGUCACAGCAUGUCUCUGGCAAUUGCAGGUAGGAGAGGAAUUUGGACCUGCCAUGCUCCAGUAUCCACCUAAUCCUUCAGCCAGGGUUUCCUAUGCAUGUCCCACCAGAGUAGGAUUUACACUUCACGCUUCAAUUUUUUUAAUUACCCUC
rnacentral:lncRNA from 1 species